rnacentral:rRNA from 1 species
CCUACGGGUGGCAGCAGUGGGGAAUAUUGCACAAUGGGGGGAACCCUGAUGCAGCGACGCCGCGUGGGUGAAGAAGCGCCUCGGCGCGUAAAGCCCUGUCAGCAGGGAAGAAAAUGACGGUACCUGAAGAAGAAGCACCGGCUACCUACGUGCAAGCAGCCGCGGUAAUAAGUAGGGGGCAAGCGUUAUCCGGAUUUACUGGGUGUAAAGGGGGCGCAGACGGCGAUGCAAGCAAGGAGAGAAAGCCCGGGGCCCAACCCCGGGACUGCUCUUGGAACUGCGUGGCGGGAGUGCAGGAGGGGCUGGCGGAAUUCCUGGUGUAGCGGUGGAAUGCGUAGAUAUCAGGAGGAACACCGGUGGCGAAGGCGGCCUGCUGGACUGCAACUGACGUUGAGGCCCGAAAGCGUGGGGAGCAAACAGGAUUAGAUACCCCUGUAGUC